rnacentral:snoRNA from 1 species
UGGCAGGCCGUUCAGCGAGGCUGAGUCUGAAGUGACUCUGUUCUUUCCUGUUGUGUCUGCUAGAUGGACUUGAGGUGGUUUGAGGCCUGCUGUUUACCUUCUGCAGUAUGGUUAUAGAAACCUCAGACAAUC